AAGUCGUAACAAGGUUUCCGUAGGUGAACCUGCGGAAGGAUCAUUAACACGUAUCCACGUAUCACCCAAUGUGCACUCGUUUUCUAUCUCCCUAUCUGACUACAUGAAUUGGCUAGCAAGUUGUCGAGCAUUGAAUGGGAUCGUAUUUGAUCACUCGACUUCAUGCAACAUGCGACCGUCGGGCCGCUAACAAUUGGAGUUAUCAGAUGGGCUAUUCUUUACUACUGUAACCUCGCCGUUCAAGAGGUGAGUAGUAGGGAGACAUAUUCACCCCUUUCACAACCUUUUUGCUAGUUGACUUUUAUAUGUUGUCUUCGGUGUACUUCGGUAUGCUGCAGUCACACGUUUAAUUAUUUGAACGAUAAAUAUACAACUCUUAGCAAUGGAUAUCUUGGUUCUC
rnacentral:misc_RNA from 1 species